AGUGCUUUCCAUAAUUACAUAGAUUCCUUUUAAAACUAAAUUACCUUACUGGCCUCGCACCCUUUCUCUUUCAUCUGCUUUACUCUCACCGAAUACCACUUGCUUUCUUUUGCCUUCAUUUGCUUUAUUCCAGCAUUUGGAGUUUUCUAGAAAGAAAUUUUGUGUUUAGGAAAGUGGGCGUUGGGUUUAAUUCCCGUCGGUCAUCCGGCCGAACCCCUGCUAGUUGUAACCCAUUACAAUGAUGGUUUUUGCUCACUUUUGAAGGAAGUCCAGUUUCUUUGCUAUCUUGCUGUUGUUGCUGGUGAUUUAAUUCAACAUGUCGUCGCUAAGGAGUGCUAUCGGUAGACGAGCUCAAAAAGAAAGAUCUCAACCGCAUUUAAGGAGAAAAUUUGGUCUUCUUGAAAAGCACAAGGAUUAUGUCGAGCGGGCACAAGUUUUUCACAAAAAGAAGUAGACUUUGCAGGUAAAGUUUCAAAGUUCUCUAUGCUAUUUUCUUGAUGUUUAGCUGGUCGAUGGGCUAAAUAUAUAUAUAUAUAUAUAUAUGUUAACUAUUUUUUAUUCUGAACAUAUUUG